GCUAGUUUACACAUAUUUAUAUUGAGUUUGAGACAUUUCUUUAUUGGUGAAAACAACAUGGAACUCUACUCACUUCCUUUAUUGUUUAGGCUACCAAUCUUCAUUUCAGAGGUGCAAGGAUAUUUGAUGCAGUAAUUGAGGAUUUGUUAGCAAGAGGAUUAAAGGAUGCAAAGAAUGGAUCUAUCAAAGUGUUACCAAAAUCAUGCACUUCAAAAAUGAAACCAGAAUUGGUGGACAGUAUUAUAGGCUCAAAUAUAGGCGAAUGCAUUCGAGCCCGAAACUGCACUGAAAGUCAGAACAAUGACUUCAAAGGUCUGUA